GAGAUAUGUUCCAGGAAACCUAGUCAAGUCGCUGUGCGAGGAGUAAUCUCAGUUGGAAAACAACCAGUGAACCACCCGCCAACUUAAACCCCCCCCCCCACCCCAAUCGAUACAGAGUAAAACCCACAUGAAAGGAUUAGAAAAUCUCACAUUGCAAUCCUGAUGCAUGUGUCAGAAACAACAUAUGAAGCGGUAAUCAUAACCAUAACAAAAAUCUCAACUACUAACAGCAUCAUAUUUUUGAAAUAUCUUUUUUUGAAGAUUAAAGAAGUUUUGAAAUAUGUCUUUACUUAGUAUCAAUACAUGUCCCUCAUUAUUCAUGUGACAAAACAUCAGAAACCAUUAAGCAAUGUUGUUCAUAGAAUUGUAAGAGGACUCGCAUUAGACCUUACAUUUAAAUACAAGGCACAGACAAGUACCACAGACUUCAAAGGGCUUUGGAUAAAAAUAUUUAGCCUCUCCUCGUUGACUCUACUGUUUGACACAGAAAUGGGAGGAGUCCAACUUAUUUCUUAAUGGAUUUCAGGAAACAUAAUCUGUCGCCCUAUCCAGAAAAGUGGUUGAUUGGCCAGAUGAAGGGAACGGAUGAUAGGAAGGCCAUUAACAAAAAACUUUACUUCUAACUACUCAUGCUGAUGGCAGAAUAAGAUUCAACAGACAAAAUGAAAUAAUGAGGGCAAAUUCAGGAUACUCCAUGACUUUAAAUUCUAAACACUGCAAGACCAAAUGACGUGCAAUAUAAACCUGAAAGACCAGAUCAGCCAAUAGACCUUUCUUGCUAAGCAUUAUCACAAGCAUUAUACCACUACAUGCUAGUAUGAUUAGGCCCUAUACAGGACUGUUUAAGAUAGGACUGCUUUAGAUAAGACUGAUGUAGGAUGGUAGACUAUCAUUUAGAUGCUUCAGGCAAGAUCCCAGUUAACAAUGAUGAGCGCAUCAAUACAACUAGCUAAGGAAUAACAUAGAAGGAAAAAAGAAAAUAUAUGAACUUUCAAACCAUGGACAUGUUUGAUGUGUUACAGAGAACAGUAUUUUAUCCUGAAAAAGAGAAAACAUAUUUUUUUAAUAUGUUCAACAUGUCUAGACUUGUUAUCUCAAAACCCAAAAAAGAAAAAAACAGAAAAAAAAAGCAAACAGGUCUAGCUUUCUACUUGAAAAGAAAACAGAAUUUCUUUCAAGAACACUCCUUUUGGAUAUUGAUGGUGAUUCCUAAGACUGUACUCAGAGAAUUUCCAGCAUAACAACAAAAUAUAAUGUUCCAUAUAGAAUUAUUUUGAAAAACAUGAUAAAACAGAGAGCAUACAGGUAUCUCAUUAAGAGAUUACCAUGAGCUAUUAAAAAUGGAUCUUAUAUAACCGUGAAGAGAACUUACUGCUCACCUAAAAGAAAAUAAGACUAUCAAGAAAAGAAUUUUUUUUCCACUAAUGAGUACCAAAAGAUAAGAAACUCUUUAAGACAAGUAACCGAAAAGGCAAAAAGCAGUAAAAAUACCCUUUCGAUUUUGUUAAAAACCAAAUUUUAUAGCACAACCGAAAUAGCUAACCCUAAUAUGGACUCAAUAUGAAUUGAAAAUUUUAUAACUCCUCGUCGUAAUCACUUUAACCAAAAACAUACCCAACAAAAACAUCAAACACGAUCUUCACGCAAGAUUUUUCCAUUUACUGGCAUUAACUCAAACCUGCAAACCGCAAGUAACCAUUAAUCAUAAACAAAAGUCCAGCACAAAUCCACCUCCGGAAAAGGAAGAGUAUCAACGUAUCGCUCCCUUGUAUACUAGUGUGCAAGUCAGAUACAAGUAGAUAUGACAAUAUAUCGGCCCUUAAUGCACCAUUAAUCCUCAAAAUUUCAACAUCAUAAAGACUCCCCCAUUAAACAAAGCGGUGCCCAUUUAUAUUCAAACCAAGUCUCAGGUGGAGAUACAGAUAAGAGAGAGAAAGAGAGAGACCUGGAGACCAGCGCGAGAGGAGCGAGAAACAGGUUUCUUCUUGUCCUUAUCCUUGUUGCUGACGCUCGAUUUGCCUGUAAUCAGUCCUUUUGCUCCCUUCCCUGACAUCUUCACUAAAAAAUUUGCGUCUAGUUGUUUGGAAAAUCGAAACAAGGGCUCGGUGUUAGAGAGAAGAGAAGAUACGAAACAGAAGCGAGUGAGUGAAGACAGUUAAAUAGGAGGAAGAGGAGAAGACGAGUGGACUCUUUGAAGAUUUAGAUGUUGACUGUGAAGGGGGUCUCUUGGGUGUCAAGCAGUCACACGAUCAGCCAUCUUACUUGCAAAUUUUUGACCGUUGGAUUUAUUGAACUUAUCUCAUAUUUAGAUCUUUUCAUAAAGUUACUCACAAAUCUUUA
rnacentral:lncRNA from 1 species